AUGAACGCUGGCGGCGUGCCUAAUACAUGCAAGUCGAGCGAACGGACGAGAAGCUUGCUUUUCUGAUGUUAGCGGCGGACGGGUGAGUAACACGUGGAUAACCUACCUAUAAGACUGGGAUAACUUCGGGAAACCGGAGCUAAUACCGGAUAAUAUUUUGAACCGCAUGGUUCAAAAGUGAAAGACGGUCUUGCUGUCACUUAUAGAUGGAUCCGCGCUGCAUUAGCUAGUUGGUAAGGUAACGGCUUACCAAGGCAACGAUGCAUAGCCGACCUGAGAGGGUGAUCGGCCACACUGGAACUGAGACACGGUCCAGACUCCUACGGGAGGCAGCAGUAGGGAAUCUUCCGCAAUGGGCGAAAGCCUGACGGAGCAACGCCGCGUGAGUGAUGAAGGCCUUCGGAUCGUAAAACUCUGUUAUUAGGGAAGAACAUAUGUGUAAGUAACUGUGCACAUCUUGACGGUACCUAAUCAGAAAGCCACGGCUAACUACGUG
rnacentral:rRNA from 1 species